UACGUAGGGGGCAAGCGUUGUCCGGAUUUACUGGGCGUAAAGCGCCUGUAGGCGGCCUGUCAAGUCCGGCCUGAAAGCCCCCCGCUCAACGGGGGAGGGUGGCUGGAAACUGGCAGGCUUGAGGGCGAGAGAGGAGGGUGGAAUUCCUGGUGUAGCGGUGAAAUGCGUAGAGAUCAGGAGGAACACCCGUGGCGAAGGCGGUUCUCUGGGACGGUACUGACGCUGAGACGCGAAAGCGUGGGGAGCGAACAGG
rnacentral:rRNA from 1 species